ACGGAAGGCAGCAGUGGGGAAUAUUGCACAAUGGGCGAAAGCCUGAUGCAGCGACGCCGCGUGAGUGAAGAAGUAUCUCGGUAUGUAAAGCUCUAUCAGCAGGGAAGAAAAUGACGGUACCUGACUAAGAAGCCCCGGCUAACUACGUGCCAGCAGCCGCGGUAAUACGGAGGAUGCAAGCGUUAUCCGGAUUUAUUGGGUUUAAAGGGUGCGUAGGCUGUGGACCAAGUCAGUGGUGAAAGCCCGGGGCUUAACUCCGGAACUGCCAUUGAUACUGGCCCGCUGGAAUACGGAUGCCGUGGGAGGAAUGAGUAGUGUAGCGGUGAAAUGCAUAGAUAUUACUCAGAACACCGAUUGCGAAGGCAUCUCACGAAUCCGUCAUUGACGCUGAGGCACGAAAGCGUGGGGAUCAAACAGGAUUAGAUACCCUGGUA
rnacentral:rRNA from 1 species